AAAAAACAAACAAAAAAAAACAAAAAAAACAAAAGAUUAUCAACCUAGAAUUCAAUACCCAGCAAAAUAUCUUUUAAAAAUAAAGAUAAAAUGUUUUUUUCCAGACAUAAAAGCUGGAAGAAUUCAUCACUAGUAGAUCUGCACCACAAGAAAUGUAUUUUUGUUUGUUUUCUAAGAAUAGAGACAGGGUUUUGCUUUGUUGCCCAGGCUGGUUUUGAACUCCUGGCUUCAAGAGAUCCUCCCACCUCAGCCUCCUAAAGUAUUGGGUUUACAUGUAUGAGCCACUGCACCUGUCUAAGAAAUGUCAAAAAAAAAAAAAAAAAAAAAAAAAAGGUUUUAUAGUCAGAAGGAAAACAAAAGGAAUGUGGAUCUACACAAGGAAUGAAGAGCACUAGAAAGGGGAGAGAGGGUAACAGAUGCCUUUAGAUAUCAAACUCAGGGUCUAACAGGAGUUGCAAACUACAAUGCUCACAGGGCCAGGUAAGAAUUGUAAAUAAAAAUGGGUUAAAUAUUGGAUUAAAAAGAUUGUAGGGGUAUGGCGAAUGUUAAGUCCUAUCUAACACUACAUUCAAAGAAAAGAUCUUAAAAGUAACCAGAGAAAAAACGAUGGAUUAACUAUAAAGGAACAACAAUUAGAUUGAUUGACAGAAGACUUUUUAAUUAGAAAAAAUGGGAUCCAUGGAAUGUAAUAUCUUUUAACUUAUAGGAGUUUAAAAAGUAAACGUCAACCAUGGAAUUGAAGAUCCAGCAAAGCUAUUUCACAAAAAAUAAGGGUAAAGAAAAUUUCAGACCAACAAAACAAAACAAAAACUCAAAAAGUUCAUCCCAAAUUAAUAUCACUAAAGUGUUUAUCAAAGAAUAUAUCUGAAGAAGAAAAAAAUUUAUCUAAGAAGUGGGCAUAAGUUGCAAGAAUAUAAAAUUUUUUAAAAUAACACUGUAUAAAUGAAACAAUGCUACUAAUAAUAUCUAAUUUGUAGGAUUAAAAAAGCAAGAAAAGAUUAUGAAUAACUACAUGUUAGGAGAUAAGUGUUUUAAAAAGAACUUAGUACUUUAACUUUUAAUUUCAAGUUUCUUUGCCAAUAUAUUACAAUAAAUAAUGUUUCACAUUUGGCUUACAUUAAAAUAGGAAAUCAGAUUUUCUGAUGGCUGAUCACUUGCUGAAUUUAAAAUCAUCAUUAAUUGUUGGAUAGUGUUCAUAACAGUCCUAGAGGGGAAAAAAUAGGAAGAUGUGUUAAGCAAUGAAGGGAGAGAAAAAAUGAAAAAAUGAAAUGUUAUCUAUUUCCCAAGUUAAACGUAUCUUUAAAUACACUGCCUCCCACUUAUCUUUAAGUCCCCUGAAAUAAGACUGUGGUUUAUAAGAAAUUACAUUUUGCUUAAAUCUUUAGGAAAAUAAGUAUUCACACUGAUAAGUUUAUAGCUAUAGAAUGGAUAUACUUACUUACCAAUAAAACUAUAUAUCAACAAAA